UUGAUGCUCUUCAAUAUGAUCACCUAGGUAUCUGCAAUAAAGCCGUUACAGUGGCAGAGAAAUAACAGCUUUAGUUUGCAUUACGACCUGUGCACCAGAAUGAUGAAACCUGUCAUGACCUCUGCAGUGCAAAAGGCCCAGCGACUGAAGAGGAAACCAACUAUGUGCUUUGAUAUAUCUGUCAUGCUUCAGCAGACACUAACAAGGAUGAAUCUGAGACACUACAGACCCUGCAUAAUAGGGAUAGUCCUCCUGAGGUUAAGUGCCCGGUUUCAAGGAUAAAAUGGUGAUGGAUCAACUUAAUCUCAGCCUCAGACGGCACGUCCACUGACCGCCCACAGUCUGUGGGCUAAACUGGCUGUCUGAUGCAUGUUGUGCUAAAAAAAUGUCAAGAGCCAGCUGAAAUCGUUUGUUCCAAUCUGAUUAACUGGCACUAUGCAACAUCAGGGA